rnacentral:rRNA from 1 species
ACACGAACUGCGCGAACGUUAUUCGGAAUCAUUGGGCUUAAAGAGUUCGUAGGCGGCCUGACAAGUUGGGUGUGAAAUCCCUCGGCUCAACCGAGGAACUGCGCCCAAUACUGUCAGGCUUGAGGGAGACAGAGGCGAGUGGAACUGAUGGUGGAGCGGUGAAAUGCGUUGAUAUCAUCAGGAACACCGGUGGCGAAAGCGGCUCACUGGGUCUCUUCUGACGCUGAGGAACGAAAGCUAGGGGAGCGAACGGGAUUAGAAACCCGGGUAGUCC